rnacentral:lncRNA from 1 species
AAGAAUAAAGGCAAACAAGGGACAAAUCAUUAAGAAAGAGAGAAACUAAUUCUCAAUUGUAUUAUGCUAAAAUAAUUCUCAUAUCAAAGUUUAAUUACAAUGCGAAGUGUUUAAAUAGUUCUAAAGAAUGUUAGGAGUGGGAAUCCUAAUAUAAGUAGGAAUAUGCAAUCACAAAGCACUACAAUCUCUACUUUCUUUUCCUAAAAUAUGUACUCCUAAAAUCUCUAGGAAUAGGAGUUGCAUCAACUCCACUUGGUCGAAAAGAAUUUGUGUUUGAAAUGAUCUGGAAAUAAGCUUCCAAAAGAGAAGGAUCCAAAGUCUGAAAUUCCU